rnacentral:rRNA from 1 species
UACGAAGGGCGCAAGCGUUUGUCCGGAAUUAUUGGGGCGUAAAGAGCUCGUAGGCGGCUUGUCACGUCGGGUGUGAAAGCCCCGGGGGCUUAACCCCCGGGUCUGCAUUCGAUACGGGCUAGCUAGAGUGUGGUAGGGGGAGAUCGGAAUUCCUGGUGUAGCGGUGAAAUGCGCAGAUAUCAGGAGGAACACCGGUGGCGAAGGCGGAUCUCUGGGCCAUUACUGACGCUGAGGAGCGAAAGCGUGGGGAGCGAACAGG